GACAGAGGUGCCGAGCGUUAGGCGGAAUCACUGGGCUUAAAGCGCGUGUAGGCGGGCCGGCGCGGCGGUCGCUGAAAGCCCCCGGCUCAACCGGGGAAGCGGCGCCGAUACGGCCGGCCUGGAGGGGGGUAGGGGGACCUGGAACUUCCGGUGGAGCGGUGAAAUGCGUUGAGAUCGGAAGGAACGCCCGUGGCGAAAGCGAGGUCCUGGACCCUUUCUGACGCUGAGACGCGAAAGCCAGGGGAGCGAACGGG
rnacentral:rRNA from 1 species